AGUUAAUUUAUAAGUUGUAUAAAAAAAAAUUACAAUCAAAAAAACAAUUCACUGUUUUUUAGUUUUAACUUUUUUGUUGAAUUUACUGAAGUGAAGAUGUACUCUCAAAAUAUUAUUACAUUGAUAGCUCUUUGUUGUAUUAUACUAACAUUGGGUUUGCAUUUGAAAAAUAAAAAUGAUGCUAACUUGUCAUCGAAUGAACUAGCAUCAAUAAAUGAAUAUUCUGAAUUUAAACAUUUAUUUGAAUUAGCCAUUGCUGGUACAGAUGAUGAGAAUAUUAAAGAUGUAUUACUAAUUGGUAUACUGGUACUUCUUGAUGAUGUUACAAUGAAAAGCAUAAUUCAGGAUUGUAAAGAUAAAUAAAAUAUUUAUGACAAAGAAAAAUUUAUCAAAUUGAUAAACAAUCAUAUAACUAACGACAAAGUUCAAGACUAUAAAAACAAGAAACCUGAAUUAAUAAAAAGUUUAUUUUUAUUUUAUUCUGAAGGAAACAAGUUUUUGACCAUAUCAAAAUUACAAGAUGUUUUUCAUUCUUAUAAAAUUGAAUUAAAUAAAAAUGACUUAAUAUUACUGAAUAAUUCUAGCAAAUAUAAUAAUAAUCAGUUAAAUUUUGAAAAAUCGAGAAAUGAUUCGGAUGUAAAUGAAUGUAAUUUUGAAAUAUUUGAAAAUUUGUAUUCUGUUAUUGAAUUUUCAUAAAUGCUAAAAAAAGAAGAUUGUUUUAAGAAUAUAUUUAAGUUUUAUUCUGAAGGAUCUCAAUUUUUGUCUAUUUAAGUUUAUCAUGAUGUAAUGGUAACAUAAGUAUCGUAGUGAAUAAAGAACAGUUAAUUAUGUUAAUGAAUUUCAAAGCGAUCUAUAAAGUUCAAUUGGACUUACACGAUGUAUUUGAAAUCAAAAUGAAUUAAAAUUCAACUAAUCACAUUUCAGAAUUUUCUACACUAAUGAAACCAAAUUUAGAAGAAUAUUGUAAAAUUGUGAAAUAAUA